GAUGAGUCUAAUGCUAGUGUGUUUGAAGUGAGAGUUCCCUGUGUGUUGUGUCAGGUGUGGCGGGAGUCCGGUGCCACGACCCUGGAAGCUGGCAGCGUGGGCAGGACGCAGGGGGGCCCCGGCUUCACCAGUCCUGGGCGCGUAGCAGGGGGAACCGGCAGCCCGACCGCAAGUGCCAGAGGAGGGACCCCAGGAGGUUCCGAGGGCUUCACAGCAGCACCCGGCAGUGAGAGCACAGGUGGACACUCCGGCGCCCCAGGCACGACCUGGCAGGCAGAGCAGGUAUGCCAAGUCGGGAGCUUCUCCUUUGCACCUCGGGCAAGCGGCCAGUGGCUAAUGCCAGGAGGGAGUCGCUCCUGGUCUGUGGGAGGGCCCGUCCUCAUGAGCCGACUACCCAUGUGUUUGGGGCCAUCAGGGCAGCGUGUCUGUCGCAUUGUCUCUGACGUGAGUAGCUUGCCACUCACUCACUCCUUUGGAGAAGUCUCACGGAAAAGUGUUCUCCAACCACCAUCCCUAUGGAUCCUGUGC
rnacentral:lncRNA from 12 species